rnacentral:rRNA from 1 species
GUCCACGCUGUAAACGUUGCGAACUAGGUGUCGGGGGUAUUCACCCCUCCGGUGCCGAAGCUAACGUCUUAAGUUCGCCGCCUGGGAAGUACGGCCGCAAGGCUAAAACUCAAAAGGAAUUGACGGGGGCCCGCACAAGCGGUGGAGCAUGUGGUUCAAUUCGAUGCAACGCGAAGAACCUUACCUGGGCUUGACAUCCCGAGAAUCCCUCAGAAAAUGAGGGAGUGCCCGUAAGGGAACUCGGAGACAGGUGCUGCAUGGCUGUCGU